rnacentral:lncRNA from 1 species
UCCCUCUCCCUCCCCCUCCCCAGAAUAUUUGUGCAGCUUACGGAGAGACAUCCAGGGGGACUGAACUGUUGCUGGAAGGAACCUCUGACUCCAGCUUGCCUCAUCAGUUUGGGAAGCGGCGAGGCCUCCGAGAUGAGUCACCGGUUCUUAUAGAGGGCUGCAGUCUGCUGAGCCAGGAAAGGAGCCCUUGUUGCAC